GACGAAGGGGGCUAGCGUUGUUCGGAAUUACUGGGCGUGAAGCGCGUGUAGGCGGUUGUCCAAGUUGGAUGUGAAAGCCUUGAGCUUAACUCAAGAAAUGCAUUCAGGACUGGAUGACUAGAGGACCGGAGAGGAUAGUGGAAUUCCCAGUGUAGUGGUGAAAUACGUAGAGAUUGGGAAGAACACCAGUGGCGAAGGCGGCUAUCUGGACGGUUUCUGACGCUAAGACGCGAAAGCGUGGGGAGCAAACAGG
rnacentral:rRNA from 1 species